GAUGAUUGGGAGGUGACUGAGUCUGGCCGAUCUGUGACACUAUGCAUUCAAAAUGUUAAUUAUGGAAUGAAGAAACAAACUACAAGUCCCCCAAGUCAUGCUAAAACGGAAAAUGUUGAUAUAAUUCGCUCCAUGUUGCAUUAACCUACAACAGAGAACUUUACAGUAAGAGUGAUGAGACAACAAAUUUCUCCAACAGAUGAGCAACAGUGAUCAUGCCAAACAAAUUACAAACAGUUUCCUGUUUCUUCCAGCUUGUGUCAGUCGAAAGGCUCUUGAGGAUAAUCAAAGACAAGGGAGAGACCAUCAGAGCUCACUGUACAGCAAUCAAAGUGCAUAUAAAGACAGAUUCACGCACAGGCCAACAUGAAAUUUGGCCUGGGCCCAUGCAGACCAGCAGAGGACACAAACAGCAGGUGCUACACACAGUUUGAAAUGUGGUAUGAAACUAAAUUUUAUUUAUCAUGAUAUGCUUUAAUCAACAGAUGGAAGAAAAACAGCAAUCGGUAAAUGGAAAACAAAAUCAACAAAUGGGAAAGGGAAAAAUCAUGUUGUGUGUGAUUAAAGCAAAAUAAAAUAA
rnacentral:lncRNA from 1 species